rnacentral:rRNA from 1 species
AUGAAGUUAGCGGCGGACGGGUGAGUAACACGUGGGUAACCUACCCAUAAGACUGGGAUAACUCCGGGAAACCGGGGCUAAUACCGGAUAAUAUUUUGAACUGCAUAGUUCGAAAUUGAAAGGCGGCUUCGGCUGUCACUUAUGGAUGGACCCGCGUCGCAUUAGCUAGUUGGUGAGGUAACGGCUCACCAAGGCAACGAUGCGUAGCCGACCUGAGAGGGUGAUCGGCCACACUGGGACUGAGACACGGCCCAGACUCCUACGGGAGGCAGCAGUAGGGAAUCUUCCGCAAUGGACGAAAGUCUGACGGAGCAACGCCGCGUGAGUGAUGAAGGCUUUCGGGUCGUAAAACUCUGUUGUUAGGGAAGAACAAGUGCUAGUUGAAUAAGCUGGCACCUUGACGGUACCUAACCAGAAAGCCACGGCUAACUACGUGCCAGCAGCCGCGGUAAUACGUAGGUGGCAAGCGUUAUCCGGAAUUAUUGGGCGUAAAGCGCGCGCAGGUGGUUUCUUAAGUCUGAUGUGAAAGCCCACGGCUCAACCGUGGAGGGUCAUUGGAAACUGGGAGACUUGAGUGCAGAAGAGGAAAGUGGAAUUCCAUGUGUAGCGGUGAA